GACGAACGCUGGCGGCGUGCCUAAUACAUGCAAGUCGAACGCUGAAGCGAGGAGCUUACUCUUCUUGGAUGAGUUGCGGACGGGUGAGUAACGCGUAGGUAACCUGCCUUGUAGCGGGGGAUAACUAUUGGAAACGAUAGCUAAUACCGCAUAAUAAUGGAUGACACAUGGCUUUUAUUUGAAAGGGGCAAUUGCUCCACCACAAGGUGGAACUGCGUUGUAUUGGCUAGGUGGUGAGGUAAUGGCCCACCUAGGCGACGUAAGAUAGCCGGCCUGGGGGGGUGAUCGGCCCAACCGGGACUGGAAACCGGCCCAACCCCCAUGGGAGGGGAGAAGGGGGGAAUUUUGGAGAAGGGGGCAACCCUGACCGAGCAACGCCGCGUGAGUGAAGAAGGGUUUCGGAGCGUAAAGCUCUGUUGUAAGUCAAGAACGGGUGUGAGAGUGGAAAGUUCACACUGUGACGGUAGCUUACCAGAAAGGGACGGCUAACUACGUG
rnacentral:rRNA from 1 species